UACGAAGGUGGCAAGCGUUACUCGGAAUUACUAGGCGUAAAGGGCAGGUAGGUGGUUUGGUAAGUCUGUUGUGAAAGCUCCCGGCUCAACUGGGAGAGGUCAACAGAUACUGCCGGACUUGAGUAUGGGAGAGGGUACUGGAAUUCCCGGUGUAGCGGUGAAAUGCGCAGAGAUCGGGAGGAACACCAAUGGCGAAAGCAGGUACCUGGACCAUUACUGACACUCAGCUGCGAAAGCUAGGGGAGCAAACAGG
rnacentral:rRNA from 1 species